AUAAUGAUACACCCAUAUGACACGGCUACUCAUAGGAAUGAGAGGGGUUAAAGUCCCGUGG
rfam:Clostridium sp. ASF356 genomic scaffold acMac-supercont1.2, whole genome shotgun sequence.